UACGGGGGGAGCAAGCGUUGUUCGGAUUUACUGGGCGUAAAGGGCGCGUAGGCGGCCAGCGCAAGUCAGUUGUGAAAUCUCCGGGCUUAACUCGGAACGGUCAACUGAUACUGCGCGGCUAGAGUGCAGAAGGGGCGACUGGAAUUCUCGGUGUAGCGGUGAAAUGCGCAGAUAUCAGGAGGAACACCGGUGGCGAAGGCGGGUCUCUGGGCCGAUACUGACGCUGAGGAGCGAAAGCGUGGGGAGCGAACAGG
rnacentral:rRNA from 1 species